rnacentral:rRNA from 1 species
CCGUGCAAACGUUAUUCGGAAUCACUGGGCUUAAAGGGCGCGUAGGCGGGCUCGCCAGUCAGGGGUGAAAGCCCACGGCUCAACCGUGGAAGUGCCUUUGAUACUGCGAGUCUCGAGGGAGGUAGGGGCGUGCGGAACUUCCGGUGGAGCGGUGAAAUGCGUAGAUAUCGGAAGGAACAUCGGUGGCGAAAGCGGCGCGCUGGACCUCUUCUGACGCUGAGGCGCGAAAGCCAGGGGAGCAAACGGG